AUGGCCUUCAGGCAGAGAUUGCUCCAUUUCAGGGCUAAAAAUCUCUUCCUGACACUCUUGUUGAUCUGCAGGCCCAGAAUCCCCAGUAACAUCAGGCUGGCUUGCAGGUCCAGAACCCCCACUGAGCUCAGGUGCAGGCACAACCGAAGGCUGAACUACAGCCCUUCCUUCCUUCCUUCCUUCCUUCCUUCCUUCCUUCCUUCCUUCCUUCCUUCCUUCCACCUCUCCCUCUCGCCUUCUCUUUCCCUUGGGGCUGGGGUCUCCCUUCCUGAUGGGAUGCAUUGGGGAGGAAAGAAGGGUCUCAAACUUCUCUUCCUAACUUUUCUCUCUCUCUUUCUCUUCCUGCUCUUUUUCUCCUUCCUUCCUUCCUUCCUUCCUUCCUCUAUGGCACAGCAUUGGCGAGCGGAGGCCCAGCGCCAUGUCAACGACCUCUACGAAGACCUGCGCGAUGGGCACAACCUCAUCUCUCUGCUGGAGGUGCUUUCGGGGGACACCCUGACCUGGGAAGGACAAGGAGGGGGCAGAAGGAGGACCCUCCCCAAUUGGUGGCACAAGAUAACAACAACAAGAACAACCACAACAUUUCGGCAGGUCUUUGAGUUCUGUUAGAUGUUUUAAAAGGUGCUUUUAGGAUGUUUUUAAGAUAUUUUUAAAGAUGUUUUAAAGAUGUUUUUAAAUGGUUGAUUUUAGCCGGUUCUUGUAAGCCGCCCCGAGCCCUAGGGGAGUGGCGGCAUAUAAGUUUGAAAAAUAAAUAAAUAAAUAAAUAAACAAACAUUAUUCUUGUACCCUGCCUCCAUCACCCCAAAGGGACUUGAGGCGGCUUACUCAUGGCAGAAAGCGUAAAACAGAGCAUAAAAUAAUCGCAAAACAUAUGGCAUAUAAAACAACAGUUAAACUCAUAGGUAAAGGCUUUUCCCCUGACAUUAAGUCCAGUCGUGUCCGACUCCUUGCAAGACCUGGGAAGGACAAUAAGGGGGCAGAAGGAGGACCCUCCCCAAUUGGUGGCACAAGAUAACAACAACAACAAGAACAACAACAACAUUAUUCUUGUACCCUGCCUCGAUUACCCCAAAGGGACUCGAGGCGGCUUACUCAUGGAAGAAAGCAUAAAACAGAGCAUAAAAUAAACACAAAACGUAUGGCAUAUAAAACAACAAACUCAUAGCAACGUCCAAAACCUAUGGUGACAACUAUCCUAGGACAUGGCCAGACUGUAGUCAGAACCCCUCCACCCCUCCCUCUCUUUGCCGGCUCCCUUUGGGGCCUCUCCUCCCCAUUCUGUCCAUAGAGGAGGAGGCGAGUGCUACUCUUGUUGUGAUAAUCUCUGAGCGGUUAGACUCGAUUUAACCCUCUCUGGGGGAGAUUCCACCAAAAUGCAGCAGAGUAGCAAAAGCAAAAGCUUUCAAGCGCAGCAGUUACUUACACGGGGUGAGCAAGAGAAGCCUUUCAGCUUAGGAUGGCAAUCGAUUGCAGAGUCUCAGGAAAAGUUCAAAAAGUAUUUAUUCAGGUAAAAAGAACUCUAUUGUAGAUAGAAAGGCUUGGGAGCUGUCUAGUCUACUCUAGACUGGUUUCUAAGGAAAAAUAAGAAAGGAAAAAUAACAAACAUCUAAACAGUUACAUCUUGCCAGGAGAGAUGGCAGGACACUGCUUGUUAGCUAGAAGAACAAAGGGAGAAAAGAGAACCAAAAUGGUUCCAACCUGAUGGUCCAGUUUAUUGGGGCCAUAAAAGACAUUCUGACCAAUGAGAAGUUAGUGUCCCUGAAGAUUCACAUUUCUACUAACUUCAAAGUAAGGGAUGUGAUGUAAACAGGAUAGAGUGAAACACAGUAAAGCCUGUCUAGGCAUGCUUUGGAAACAGGGAAAGGGUUCCCUCAAUCUAACUCUAUCAUCUAUCUGACUACAUCUCGACUUGAGUCGUCCAGGAUGAUUCCCAACAAUUCUUACUCAGAAUGGAUGGGAAGGGGCUUCCCUUGGGAUCUUUCUGCAAGGCCCCAGGCAUGUGUGAUGGGGAACCUCAAUGCCAUGCAGGAUAACACUGGGCAUGGAUUGGGGAGGGGACGGAGGAGGGGUGAGUGGAGACUCCCCCCCCCAGGAGAUCCAGGGUGGGAGGGAGGGGUCGAGGCCCAGCCCCCUGGGGACCCCCAAGCGGAUGUUGGACACCCAGUUACCCCUGCAGAGCUCUAGAGCCGGAGUGGGCAGCACCAUUAUUAUUAUUAUUAUUAUUAUUAUUAAUUAUUUAUACCCUGCCACCAUGUCCCAGAGGGACUCGGGGCGGCUCACAGAACACUCCAAGGUGUGACAUGCAAAAUACAACAAGUGCAAAACAAAAACAUAAACCAUCAACAUAGAUAGCAUCCCAAAUUCACAGGACCCCAUGCUUAAAAACAAUAAAAUACAGUGAUUGCUGUAGGUAAAAACAGCAGUAUUUGAUUUCAGAAUUGUAAUGUGCUAAUAUUUGAUCUCAGAAUUGUCAAGCGCUUGAUAGAGAAUCGGAAGGUCCUCCUAUGUAUUACUAAGGAAUCAAAAAUGGUUGAAGGCUUGUUGGAAAAGCCAUAUCUUUAAUUGUGUGCUGAAGGUUUGGAGGUGGGGGCUAACCUGAUCUCCCUUGGGAGUGUUGGGAAUUGACGAGCCGCUAAAAUCUAAUCAUCCUCUUUAUGAGGUAAAUUCCCAUUAAAAUAACAGAGUAAAAUGCAGCGGUGAGACUUACGGGGUUUGAGUUUGGAAGGCCUCUUUGUCACCAGGAAGGCAAAGGAAUGCAAAGUUAGCUUAAAAGUUUAAAAGCAUUUAUUGAGGUAAAAAGAAAUCCAUUGAUAGAUAGAAAAGGUUUGGAGCUAACUAGCUAAUCUAUCCUGUUCUAAUACACAUAGAUGGAUCAAAACAACAAUAGCUACAUCUUGACUAGUAGAGCGGACAAUAUGUGUCCUCUCUGGCACAAAGCAGGAAGAUGGAAUGGUGACCAAGUUUGAUGGGUCGCUUCUUCUCUAGGGCAUAAACAUUCCAAAAGCCCAUUUG
rnacentral:lncRNA from 11 species